rnacentral:lncRNA from 1 species
CGUUGGGGGGGGCGCUGCAAUUGGGGUGGGUCCCAAGUUUUGGGGUCACUCUGGGUCACUGUAAAGGGGCAUUUGGGUCCCCGUUUUUGGGGUCGUUUUGGGUCACUAUAGAGGGACAUUUGGGUCCUUAUUUUUGGGGUCAUUGUGGGUCACUAUAAAGGGACACUCAGGUCCCCAUUUUUGGGGUCGUUUUGGGUCACCAUAAAGGGACACUCAGGUCCCCAUUUUUGGGGUCGUUUUGGGUCACUAUAAAGGGACACUCAGGUCCCCAUUUUUGGGGCCGUUUUGGGUCAUUAUAAAGGAACAUUUGGGUCCCCAUUUUUGGGGUAUUUUCAGGUCACUAUAAAGAAAUGCUGGGGUCCCAAAUUUUGGGGUCGCUUCGGGGUCGUUCCAACGAGACACUGCAUCCCCCUUUUGGGGUCAUUACAGGAGAAUUUUGCUCCUCCUUUUGGGGUUAUUUGGGGGUCAUUAAAGGAGUAUUUUGGUUCUGUUUUGGGGUCAUUGAAGGAGCAUUUUGGUCCUGUUUUAGGAUCAUUUUGGGGUCAUUUAAGGAGCAUUUUUACCCCCAUUUUGGGGUCACUUUGGGGUCAUUAAAGGAGCAUUUUGCUCUUCGUUUUAGGGCCGUUUUGGGGUCACUUAAGGAGCGUUUUGGUCCUGGUUUGGGGUCACUAUGGGGUCAUUACAGGAGCAUUAUGCUCCCUGUUUUGGGGUCAUUAAAGGAGCAUUUUGUUUCUCGUUUUAGGGCCAUUUUGGGGUCAUUAAAGGAGCAUUUUGCUUCUCGUUUUAGGGCCGUUUUGGGGUCGGUCAUUUUAGGGUCAUUAAAGGAGCAUUCUGGUCCUUGUUUUGGGGCCAUUUUAGGGUCGUUAAAGGAGCAUUUUGGUUGUUGUUUUGGGGUCAUUGAAGGAGCAUUUUGCUCCUGUAACGACCCCAAAAUGACCCUAAAACAGGACCAUUUUGCACCUCGUAUUGGGGUCAUUUUGGGGUCAUUAAAGGAGCAUUUUGCUCCUCGUUUUGGGGUCAUCUUGGGGUCAUUAAAGGAGCAUUUUGCUCCUCGUUUUGGGGUCACUGCACGGACUUUUCCCACCCCCUUUUAGGGUCGUUCGGGGGCCAUUUUUGCCCCCAGGCUUCAGAGCAGUGGGGAUCCCUGUGUCGACCCUUCUUUGUCGGGGGGGGGCGCCUCAUUUUGGGGUCACAGAAGGGAUUCCUACAACCCCUCCCUUCAGCCCCACACCGCAGCCGCCGCUCGCUGCAGGGCGAUGCUUUGAGGCUGUCGUUUCGCAUUGAGUUGCACCGGCACCCCCCC